UACCAUUUUCCUUUAUAAGCUGGAUUCGACUUCGUUGGCCUUUUCCACUCACCACAGCCUGGGGCGGCUUCACAUUUUGGGUUCUCAAUCUUUGGGGCUUCCCAUUCACCAUCCUCCUCAUCAUCCCAAUCUUCUGGUUUUGUUGCCUCUGGAUCAUCUAUCUCCUCAGGUUCAUCGUCUAACCAUCCUUCAGGUUUUUCAGCUUCUUCAUCAACAAUUUCCAAGGGUGCUUCCUCAUCCCAGUCAUCUGGCUUUACAGCAAUUGGGUCUGGAAUUUUCUCUCUCUCAUCCCAGUCCUCAGGCUUCUUAUCAUCUGGAUCUGGGAUUGUCUUGGUCGGGAUAAGUGGAGGUUCAAAAUCAUCAGCACUUAAGAAGUCUGCCUUCUUCUUCUGUUCCCCGUCAAGCAAAAUUAGCACCUCAUUGUUAGGCUUCAAAAUAGCCGUGUACACAUGAGUUAAUUUAUCAGAAGGGACAGAAGGGGGAUUCUUAAGAUGGUGCUCAACAUACUCCCCAGUCUUGGGAUUCUUGUGUUUGAAAAUGAAGUGUACUUUGUUUGUGGCACCACACUUAUCAGGACCAAACAUGAUAGAAUACGGAGAUUCGUUGUCAAAUUCCUUAGAUUUCCAUCCAGCAUCCUGUGGUCGGAGAUAUUUUAUAUAUGCUCCUCCACAUUCAAGUCCAUUCUGAAGCCGAGUUUCAAACUGAAGAACAACAGUUCCAUCCUUGAGACUCACUGCCCCGUCAAGUUCCUUCACUAUAGCAUAUUUUCUUGCUUUCUCACUGACAAGAAGACCAUGAUCAUCAUGUCCCUCACUCUUGGCAUGUUUCCAGACACCUAUAAUCCAGACGAUAUAUCAGAUUUCGCAAUAUAUCAUCAUUCAAGUCACACUACACUACCAAAAAAUGAAAAACUACAAUAUAAAAUCUACUGCAUAUGUAAUUAUUAAUAUGCAGAAACUUUAAUUUACGUAAAUAAAUAUGACUACAGCAAACAACUAGACUUUAAGAAGAUAAGCAAGAGAAUAUUUAAAAUAAAAUAGUAUUAAAUAUAUUGAAAAGCGAAUUCAAUAUAUUUAAUAGUGCAUUUUACAUAAAAUACUCCACCAAUUACAUUCCUUAAUAUUGCACAUAAUAUUGAUCAUUAAAUCAUACCACAAAUGAUAAGAACUACGACACAAAAAUCAUUUCACCCUUAUAAAUGGUAAUGUGACUAUAAGUAGCUUUUAAUAUAAAGAGUUAGGUUGUAUGAUCAAUCUUUCGCACACCCUCCAAUCACUACACAUUGCAUCCAUUAAAUGGAUAUACAUGUGAGAAUAUGUAUUUGGUUAAGGAAAAAAUAGACUGAAAAUAAAAAAGAGAAAAUUUUAAUAAAAAAAAAUUUAAUAAUAAUUUAUAGACACAUAAAUACAUACAUACAUUCAUAUAUAUACAUAUAGACAUAUAUUAUACAUAUAUACACGAUUUAGUACACUCAAUUUUGCUGCGAAAAUAAAAGGAUAUUCUAUUAUGUUAACUAGAUAAGCAUCAGUCUAUACUACCAUAUGUAAUCUUACAAGCAAAAUAUCGUUAUUACCAUGCAAAUGACAAGUACUACCUUUAAGGUAUACUGUUUAAUGGACUAAAAGAAAUGUACUAAAUGGGGAAAAAACAUAUAUUAUACAACGGGGGUUUAAUGUCAUGGUAAUUUAAACAAGGGGAGUUAAAUUACACAACAUUUUUUGAAGUACUAAUAACUGAAAAAAUUCAACCCCAUAAUCAGUGCAGAUUUUGACACUCAUCAGCAGACCCCUCCUGCUACUAUGUUUUACAGAAUUUGUAUUUCGUCCAAUCAUGUCCAUAAAUUUAGAUUUCGGACAUAUUUAUCUGACGUUGAAACUAACAACAUAAAAGAAGAAUUGGAUUGAACUUAACACAAAGAAAUAUUGGACUGAAGCUAACAACAGUAAUCAAACAUUGAAUUGAAAUAUUGUCUUGAGUGACAUUCGCAUAGAGUGAUAAAAAAUUGAAACUAACAUCAUUAAACAAAAAUUAGAUAGAAAGAAAAUUUAUACAGUAGAAAAUAGAAACUGCAUAUAUUUGUCAAUCAUGACCAGAGAAACAAUUGAACAAUUUGAAUGAACUAAGUUUGUGUUAAUUACCACUAUAUUCAUCUUUCUGAGACACGAUCCAACGACCUUCAAAAUCCUCAUCGAAUGACUCGUAGAAGAUCUAAAAACACGAAGGAGUGACAAUUGAUUAGCCAGAAUAUGGAUCCAAACACCGAAAAAAACAGAAAACAAAAAUUGAAAAGAAAUGAAAAUGAAGAAUUACCGCGUCAUCUGCAUCUUCAGAAGCGCGGAGAAGCUGAAAAGAAGAGGCAGCGAUCAAGAGGAGCACUGCAAAGAUCCCAAGAGGGAUUCGCUUCUGUUCUCCCAUGUUCCACUGUAACUGUGAAACCCUAACAAGGAAGAGAAAUUACCAAUUUCUAUAAAGUGUUUAAAUCUCAGUGCUGUUGAGUCUAUGCCAUUAUAUAUAGAUCUCUCUCACACUUGCCUUGUGCUGUUUCAACCAAUGGUUUAAUGGGAUACGUGACAUUACCCAAUAGUAUAUUGCCAUGUGUUCUUUUUUCAUCACACCCUGCUUCUUCAUCAUCUCACAAGGAAACUAUGUAAGAAAGGUACCACAGGUAAUAAUAAUAUUUACUUUUAAAAUUUAAAUUAUUUUCUAAAUUCCUGCAUGUUUAUGUAGUUAUACCUCUUAUCAGAAAGAAAAAUAUAAUAAGGUAAAACUAAAAAAUACAUAAAGGUAAUAUGAUGCUAAAAUAUAAAAAAAAUGUGUAAAAUAAAAUAUAAAAUUAGAGUAUAAAAUAAUUAAUUGUAUAAAUUAAUAUUUUUUAUUUUAUUUUUAAGUUAAAUUGGUAAAUAUAAUUUAUUUUUAAAAAAUUAAUAUACUAAAAAGUUAAGUUAUUAGUAUUUAAAUGUGAAUAUUUUUAUAUGUAUUGCUUUUAAGUAUCUUAACUUUUUAAUAAACAGUCAUGUUAGUAUUUAAAUUUGAAUAUUUAUAUAUAUGAUAUUGUACAACUUUUUUAAUAAUUUUAUAUUUUAGUUUUAUUUCAAUGAAUUAUUAUGUUUGUAAUAACCAUAUAAAUAUUAACGUUGUAAUGAAGAAUUGAGAAAUGAUAUUUACUGUAGAAGGAAUUUCAUAACUUUUUACUAAUAUACGAAGAAGAAAGAAGAAAGAUAGGUAGUAUAAAUGGAGAAGACGAAAUUAUUCAUGUUUAAAAUAAACUUUCAUAACUAAAAGAAAUUAUUAUUUUUUAUUCGAAUUAAGAUAAUCGAUUAAUAAUUAUAUAUAUAUAUAAUAAUGUGAUAUUGAUACUAAUUUUGGUUUACUUUAUUAAUUUUUACAAUUUUAUUUUAUUUUUUUAAAAUUUAUUUUCAACAACUUUGUAUGUAUUAAUAAAGUUAACUAAUUCAUAUUUUUUAAACUUACCGUAACAAAAAUAAUAUUUUAAUUAGAUGCGAGCUUUAUGUUUAAAUAACUAAUUAUAUUUUAUUUUAAAAUAAUUUUACUCACGAAAUUAAAAUUGUAAACUUACAAUUUUAUCUAUUUUUUUAUUUUCAUCAAAUUUUCAUAAACUUUCUUUUUAUUUUUUCUUCACUUUUUUGUUAUAUUUCUCUUUAUCAAAACAAUCUCAUUUCCUAUUAUCUUUUCUCCAAAAUCCAACUUUUUCUUCUCUCUCAAAUCUGCUCAUUAGAAACAAACACACCUUAACUCACCAUCAAAUGUUUGAACUAUUAGGAAAUAUUAGGAAAUAGAAGAAAAAAAUAAUAACAUAUACAAAAUUUAGAGAAAAUCAUCAACUUUAUUAAUAAAAGAUUAUUACUCUCGUGAAAUGGUUGAUGAAUAUUUUUUAAUUUCGUUAUAGAUGCAAUGGAACCACACAACAAUUAUCACCGACUAACUAUACCUAUGAAGGAAUUAUCUAACUUCCAUUUCAAUAUUUUCUUUACACAAUUUUUUUUUUUAGCACCACUUAUAAGUAAGCAUAUAUGUCACAUUCUUAUUAAUGAGAAUUUUUAUCAAACUCAACUUUUGUUGAUCCAUCAUAUCAUGAUUCUAAUGAUAGUGAACAUCAAUGUGUUUUACGUGUAAAAAAUGUAGGAACUAAUUGAAGGAAAUAAGAAAAGACAAAAGGUUAUAGCAACUGAUUGAACGUAAUUGCACAGAAUUGCAAAACUGAUCUUAUUCAUUUGAUUUACUCAAUCAUAUAUAUAAAAUAAAAUUACAAUUAUUGUAACCUAUAAAAUAAGAAUACUAACAUGCCUGUAAACUAACCAUUAAUGCAAUAUAACGGUAAAAUAGUUUAAGGUAAUAAAAUCAAAAAUUAAUAAUAAUAAAAUCUGAAUAACCAACAUCCUCCCUUGAUUCUAAUUUGGAACAACCUUCCCAAUUUGAGUUAUGAUAUUGUUUUUCUCAAUCGCCAUCAAUUCUUCAUUCAUAUCCUUUUGCCCAUUUGGGGUGUUGAAUGACAUCAGAAGUCUCACAGGUUCUGAUUCUGCAAGAAAAGCAAAGUGAACCAAAUCUCCAUUGUCAUCAACUUCAUCAUCAAGAUUUACUUCGCAAAUCUUGAAGAUGUACAGGUUGUCGUUGCUGCCUUCUUGGUCACUCCAUCAUAGUUGCAAUUGGAGUUGUAACUUCAGGUUGAAUUACAGCUUCAGGUUGAAGUGCAACUUCAGGUUGAGCUGCAAGUGCUUCAAGAGUGACUCCAUCUUCCACAUCAUCCUUCAAAACGUAAAUAUAUUGUUUUUUCGAAUCCAUUUUAGCUGCUGCAUUCCAUUGCCAUUCCUCAUCUUCGGCAAAUGUAACAUCACGACUGAUAAUCACCUUCUUUGUCAUUGGAUUGUACAGUUUGUAUCCCUCAUGCUUAUAUCCAAUGAAAAUGGUCUUCACUGCCUUAUCAUCCAACUUCGAUCUUGCUGCCUUGGGAACAUGAGCAUAAGUAAUUGACCCAAAUACCUUCAAGUGUUGCACAUUGGGUUUGAAAUCCACUCCAUGCCUCAAUCGGAGUUGUGUUAGGAACACUCCGAGUGGGUCAUCUGUUUAUCAAAUAUACCGCACAUGUUACGGCCUCAACCCAAAAAUAAUUUGGCAUACAUUUCGCUUUAAGCAUGCUCCUCGCCAUGUCCAUGAUUGUUCUAUUCUUUCUCUCAGCAACUCCAUUGUGUUGUUGAGGUGUGUAGGGGCAAGUUAUGUUAUGUUGCAACCCAAGUUCUUCACAGUGCCUCUUGAAUUCAUUAGACUUGUACUCACCUCCUCCAUCACUACACACCAUCUUGAUUUGUCUGUCACUCUCUCUUUCAACAAAUGCUUUAAAUAUUUUAAACCACUGGAAUACCUCAUCCUUGCUUUUCAAUACAUAAAUCCAGGUUUUCCUUGAAAAAUCAUCAAUAAAGGUUAAAAAAUACUUAUUACCUCCAACUGAUGAUAUGUUAAUCGGGCCACAAACAUUUGUAUGAACAAGCUCCAAAGGAAAUUUUGUACGCCAAGGCUCCUUAACAAAUGGUAUCCUGUGAUUCUUUUCAAAAAUGCAAGCCUCACACAAUUGAUCAGGGUGAUGAAUAUGGGGUAAACCAUUCACUAUAUUUCUUUUGGAAAGGUUUUUUCAAACUCUGAAAAUUUAAGUGUCCAAAGCGUAAAUGUCAUAACCACGAUUCAUUAUUCACUAUUGCAUUCAAGCACUUGAAAUCACCCAUAUGAAUAUCUACCGGAAACAUGCGGCUUUGAUAAAAAGGAUUUAAGAAUCAAACUACCUUUUUUUAUCAAAAAUUGAUAAUUUAUUUUCAACUAUGUGCAUCACAUAACCCUUCUCGGCCAGCUGCCCCAUACUCAACAAAUUACUUUUCAUAUCAGGUACAUAGAAAACAUCAUAGAUGUACCUGUGAUCACCAUUCUUCAAUUUGAUAAGAAUUCGCCCUUUUCCAGUCAUCGGAACGAACCUGCCAUCACCGAAUUUCACUUUUGUGCGAAAUGAGUCAUCCAAAUCUGCAAACAACUCCUUCUUACCACACAUAUGAUUCGUGCAACCUGUAUCUAAAUACCAAGUCUCAGUGUUUGGGGUUUCAUUUGAUGUGGCUGCCAUUGGUAUUGUAUGAUCCUCUUCAUCUUGUACGUGAUUACUCUCUUCUUGAGCACAAUUGACAGCAUGAUUAUCACCUUUUGAUCUGCACUCAUUUGCAUAAUGACCACGUUUAUGGCAAUUAUAACACUCAACAUUUGAUUUAUUAUAAAUGUCUCCUUGUCCUCCGCGACCACGUUCCUCGCGCCAAGCGCCUCCAUGAUUCUGGCCACCACGACCUUUGUUGAAAUAGNNNNNNNNNNNNNNNNNNNNNNNNNNNNNNNNNNNNNNNNNNNNNNNNNNNNNNNNNNNNNNNNNNNNNNNNNNNNNNNNNNNNNNNNNNNNNNNNNNNNAAUUGGUUUUUCAAUCUUAUUGUCAUUCAUCCGCUGCUCAUGCGCUCGUAGAGAACCAGACAAUAACCUUACUGUCAUUUUUGAAAUGUCAUUAGCCUCUUCAAUUGCGGCAACAACAUGUUCAAAUCUGGGAGUUAAAGAUCUCAAAAUCUUUUCCACCUUUGUUUGCUCCGAAUGUGUUUCACCAUUGGUCUUCAUCUGAUUUGUCAAGGCAAGAACUUUAUUUAUAUAGACAUCAAUAGUCUCUGUGGUUUCCAUCUGCAGCAGUUCAUAUUGGCGUCUUAGGGUUUGAAGACGCACCCUCUUGAUCUUGUCAUCACCUUUAUAAUUGGUUGACAAAAUUGUCCAAGCCUCACUGGCUGUUAUUGCUCAUUCUAUCUGCUCAAACGCAUCUCGUCAUUCAUGGAUGAGAUACAAAGCCUUAUUGUCCUUCUUCUACUGAUCACGAUACGCUACUCAUUGCGCCUCAGUUGCAUUAGCAGCUAAUGUAGACACUCCACUCUCAACAUCCCAUAACUCAUGAUAAUCAAAUAAAACUCUCAUUUGCACACACCACCGAUUGUAAUUUUUUCCAUCAAGGAUAGAGACUUAUAACUGGGUAGAGUUCAUGAUAACAACCUAGCUCUUGAUACCAGUUGUAGGAACUAAUUGAAGGAAAUAAGAAAGGGCAAAAGGUUAUAGCAACUGAUUGAACGUAACUGCACAGAAUUGCAAAACUGAUCUUAUUCAUUUUGAUUUACUCAAUCAUAUAUAUAAUAAAAUACAAUACAAUUACGGUAACCUAUAAAAUAAGAAGACUAACUAAAAUGCCUGUAAACUAACCAUUAAUGCAAACGGUAAAAUAGUUUAAGGGUAAUAAAAUCAGAAUUAAUAAUAAUAAAAUCUGAAUAAAAAAAAAUACUUUUGAAAUUUAUACAAAUUCAAAUUUUUAUCGUGUAUAAAAUAACAGACUUGAACACCCAUUUAUUCCUUACAAUUUUUUUUUUCUUCUUUAAGGAUUUAAACUAAAUCACAUGUAUGAUUCUCCCCAAAGAAUCAACCUCAUCCUACAUAAAGCACAAUCAUCUCUUUUUUAUUUGUGUGACAAUACGUAUUUGAAUACGUACUAUUUUCUCUUGCCAAAUGUCAUCUUUCUUGUAACAGACAUUCAAAUCCAGGAAGUAUACUCUAUUCUAUUAUCUGAGCGCAAAAACUGCAACUUUUUUUCUUGCUAUACCACAACAUGCAAUCUAUAAAUUGUGUUAGAAAAUACAUACUACCACCUAGUGAUUAUACCCCUAAGGGACCACAUACAUAAAAUGCACCACACUAAGUAAUUAUAGUCUCUUUACAGAUGUGGAGUUGAGAUGAAUUUUUCAUUAUUUACCACACAAACAAUGAUUACAAGAUUGAUUUGUCAUAUCCUUAAUAUUGAUCAACUUCUUAAUUGAGAUUUAUAUUAUUAAUCCUUCUCACUCAUGUGACCAAGUUUUUGGUGGCACAAAUCCUACAACUCUUGUCUACUACGUUAAUGCUUUUGAGUUCAUAUUUACUUGAGUUUUGUAUAAGUUAUAUCAUGAAGUUUUUGCAUGCUAAAAUCACAUAAUUUUGUUUGUCUUUCUUGUUUGAUGAACAAUCCACAUUCAAUGACCAUUCAUGUUUGUCCUAGAUAGUUAAAAAAUUAUUAACUAAAAUUUGUUUUUUCAUUGGGAUGCUAGCUUUUUCUUGUUCGAAAAAUUUAUCUUUUGCAAUACUUUAUAAAUUAAGUAGUUAAUAUUUACUACUAGUUGAAAGCUUUGGAAGUAUGGUUCAACCAUUAGACUUCAUUAAUGUUUAGAGAGCUUUGAAUAAAGAGAAUAGUUUCGUAUUUGUUAGGAUUUUCUCAAUACCUCAAUGAUAAUGAAAUCAAAGAAUUUGUCUCCUUUAACUCCAAAACAUACUUUUAUGGGUUCAAACACAUAUACUUUUUUUACCUCACAAAGGCUCAUAUAAGGUGUUACAAGUGAUCUUUGAUGUUAGUCCAAUCUUUGAAGAUUUUAUCCAUGAGAUACUGAUAGGUUGCUCCAAUAUUUUUAAGCCAAAUGAAAUGACAUUAUAACAUAGUUUGUUUCUUCAAUGAUAAAAACAAUCUUAUCUUUGUUUGAUUGUACCCAAAAUAUGCAACUAAAAAGCUAAGAAUCUCAAAACCUUAUGAAUUGUCUUCUUAUUAACCAAUACUCUACAAGAGACAAGAAUUUUUGGAAAUUCUUUAUUAAGAUUAGUAUAAUUUGUGUACAUUUUUCGUUUAUCAUAUGACUUCUUAAUAAUGACAACAUUGGUCAACCAUAUAAUGUAGUUGAUUUCUCGGAUGAAGUCAACUUCUUAAUAAUUUAAGGACUUCUUUUACCUAGUUUGUGCUUCUUUUAGGUUAUAGAAUUGGAUUUUGAAAAGAUAGUCAACUUGUGGCAAAUAAAAUUGGUAUCCAUUCCUAGCAUGCCAGCUACACUCCCUCUAAAAAGGUUGGUAUUAUAAAAGAAUACAUUAUUGUGUUGCUUCAUGAUAAGGCAUAAUGUGAUUUGGUCAAUGUAGGUACAUUUGCCUCGCUAUAAUCUGAGUUAGAACUUAAACAUCUUUUUAUCAAAUGAUGGUCAAUGGUUAUUCACUUAGUGUAUGGGUCCAAGUCGAUGUCUUUGGUAUGAUUAUUAUAGUUUUCAAUCAAGAACAUAUUGACAUCGUAGCUUUGGUGUGACUUUCAUGGUUCUUCCUCUAAUAGAUUGACAAUUGUUUCUAUCAUUUUUUUUAUGUUUUAACCUUGGCUUUCGGUGCAAGCCUUAUACUUUCUUCUCUUCACAUAUUUAAAGUGUAAGAUAACAUUAUUACGUUGUGGACAUAACAUUCUCUAGCUUCUUUAGGGUUGAUAUUGAGUUACAAGACUCCUAUUUUUAGUUGGAAACUUCAUGGCCAUAUGCAUGAAGUGAACAAAUUCAUGUUAACUCAAUUUGAAGUUGGAUGAGUACAAAGUAUCAAUUUCAAUAAAUAUAUAUUGAAUGGUGAUUCAUCAAAGAUAGUUUGAGAUCUACAUAAUUUUUAACAUGUACUAUUUCUUUGAUGAAUCUCACUAAGGACCUUACAUAUUACUUGACCAAAUUGAAAUGUUUGAAUUUGAAAAAUCUCAACCAAUAAAAUUUAUUAUUUGAAUUACCCUGAUCAUUUUUAUAUGUAUAUUUAUUUCUAUUCCUUUAGUAUUGUAUACCACUCAUAUUAAUUCAUAGUCAUGUUUUUUUAUUGUUUGAACUUCUUGUUAUUUGUUGUUAUAUCAUAAAUCUUGAUAGUCAAUCAUCAUUUUAUAAUGAUAAUUUAAUUGUUAUCAUUACAAAAUAAAUAUAUUUUAAUUUAUAUAAUAUUUCAUUAAUGAUGAUUCUUAUGAGUUUAUUAUCUAUUUUAAGCUUAGAGAUAUGAUUAAUAUGUUUCUAAUAAAAUUUAAAUUAAUUAUAUUAAAAUUACAUGAGAUCACACUAUUUACUUUUCUAUUUUAUUAUUACAUUGCGAUAACUAUUUAAAAAUUGUAUCUUCAAUACCAACAGUAAAAUGACUGAUAAUUGAUAAUCUAUCGCAAUAUUCUUAUUAAAAAAAACAUCUUUAUUUUUAAUAAAUAAAAUAUUAAUGAUAUCUCUUUUUUCUAAGAUAUAGAAAUUAUAUUUAAAUAUAUAAAUGUGUAUAUAUAUAUAUAUUAUAGAACCUUAUUAUUUAUUCAUAUUAUCUUAAUUUUAUAUUUAUAAUUUGUUUUUAAAAAUAAAAAAAUCACAAAUUAACUAGAAUAUUAUUUUUUUUAAAAGAGAAAUGUUUAUCCAAAAUAAUUUUUUUCUUAAGUAACUAUCUUAAUAAUAAUAAAUUAUGUCUUGGGUAAAUGGUUUUUACAACUGUUUUAAAUGUAUUUUUUUUCUUAUCCUUUAUCUUUUUUAUCAUAAUAUUGAUUUUCAUCAUUCUUUAUAUUAAUGUUUGUUAAUAAAAAAUUUUAAUUUUUUAACUUUAAUUUUCAUAAUUUUACCUUUUUAAUCUUAGUAUUUGUUAAUCGGCGUUUUAAAAUUUAUAUAGGGACAUGUGUAUCUACUUUUUUAAAUGAUAAUAAAAUACAUAAUUAAAAAAACAGAUAUUAUAGUAAUUAUAAAAAUUUAUAUUAAAGUAUUAAAAACUAAUAUAGAAAAAUUAAAAUAAAUAUUUGUUACUAAUUUUAAUAUUUAUAGAAAUUCUUAUGUAUUAUAAUAGUUUAUUUUAUAAAUAAUAAGAAAACAAAUACAUUAUGUUCAUAAGGAUACACUAAAAAACAGUUAAUCCUUUUAUUAUUAAUAAAUAAAUUUAAGAAUAAAUAUUUUUUAAUAAUAAUAACCUACAUAUAACGAGUAAUUAUGUGACAUACUAAAAAUAAAUCAACUACCUAUUAUAUUUUUAUAUAUUUUAUUACAAAUUUAACAAUACAUCAAUUUUUUAAUUAUAUAUUUUUGUUUUCGUUAAAUAAAAAUAUGGGGACUGUAUAAAAGAAUUUAAGAAAUGUGAAUGUGAAGACAAUUCAAAAUUUAUAGAAGAAAUGGAUUUCUUUGCUACAUUACUAAAAAUAUAAAGAAAAAUAAAAUAAUUGUAAUUGUACAUCCUCCUCAAACAAUUCGAAUAAAACUAAGUCUCCAAGAGUGACCAUGUCACACACAAAAUGAUUCACUCAUAUUUCAAUUUCAAUUCUCUCUCCUAAUUGACCUCCGACGGGCAGGGGCAGACGAUGAGGAUUCCUCCUUCUCUUUGUUUUCCUCAUUCUCCACAUUCUCACCACUUUUUUUGUUGCUGCUAGAGGACUCUACAUUUGUCUUCUCCACCUUCGUCUCCACCUUCGUCUGCACAAUCCCAAAGACACUCAGUAUAAUUUUUUUUUCCAGGCAAUGUACAUACAAGAAUAAAAGUGAGCAUUGUUUAACUACUUACGGGCUGCUUCUUCCCACCAAAUAUGAUCCUGAAGAAAAUUGAAACGAAGAUAACCAAAAUGGCUACAAGGAUGCCAACAGUGAGAUUGGGUUGCUCUUGACCUUUCUCAAUGAGAUCCUGCAGAAAAAGAUAGAUAGAAUUUUAAGUCAUUUUCCAAGAAGACGCUAUUAGGAAGGAAGACAAAUAUUUGCAUGCUACUUACAUGGAUUUUAGGCUUAUAGGCACUCAGGAAGGGAAUGUCUGCGAUCUUGUAUAAAAUGUCAAAUACCUUCUUCUGAAAGGAUAAAAGGUAAUAUUUUGCAUGAGGACAUAAUGCUGAAAACUAAAAUAAACGAGACAUGAAAGCGAGAGUAAACUAAAAAUGCAAAAAUGACGUUACCUGGAAGCCUGCAAUACCACUUGAUCCAGCUUCAUUUUCCUCUUCCUUCUGUUUUUCUUUUUCAACUGAAAACUUGGGUUUCCAUGUAGUCUCCCGAUAGGACUCAGCAAUUUUAUCAUCUUUAGCUAUCAAGAUGUUGUCAAACAAAAUGCCAUCUUGCAUUGUCCAAAUCUCAAUACCAAUAGCAGCGAUUGGCUCAAAAUCAGGUUUUUUAAGUUCAAAGUAAGCAGGGUUUGGAAUAUCCCUAGGCUUCCAUAUACCCUUAUAAGCAGGAUUUUCAAUAAGUGGGGCAUACCAUUUUCCUUUAUAAGCUGGAUUCGACUUCGUUGGCCUUUUCCACUCACCACAGCCUGGGGCGGCUUCACAUUUUGGGUUCUCAAUCUUUGGGGCUUCCCAUUCACCAUCCUCCUCAUCAUCCCAAUCUUCUG
rnacentral:lncRNA from 1 species